CUGGCUACAAUUGGCUCUUGGAGACGCAGUCCACUACAGCGGUUCUCUCUUGUCGCCGGGUGGCCGCCAUCUCGACUUCGUCGUUUCUGUGGAGCUAGCGGUGGGUUUCGCCUUCGUAACUCGAUGAGAUUGAGAGAAAUAGUAUUGCCGUCCACUAUGUCAAGCCAUCAGGAUUUGGGAGAUGUGUGGCAAACCUUUCUGGCCGGAGGAACUAUGACUUAAGACACGACCAUAGUUACUAGCUGGGCAGAGCUGCAGAUGUCACACCUCCUUGUGGUCCUGCUGGAAUGCCUUCAUGGUAAUUGAGUUGACUUCUGCCCAGAGACGGUGUUAUAGGUUGCUUCCUCCCUAUCAUCUGGCUGUGCCAACAAUAUCCUGGAUGUGGUGGAAUCCCUGAGAUGGAGUAUCCCUCUUGACAAGGCCUCAGGAUGCAAGGGGAGAAGUGCUAUGACUUCUAUAUCAAGCCUAUCAAGGACUCAUAUACCAUCAGUGACUGUCCACCAGGGACAAUUAAUGGCCUGCCCCUCAAUAUGACUGAUCCUGAUAACUGAGAAAUACCUGGGAUUUUGCAUUGAUCCAUGGGUUGGAAUAUCAAAAACAGACUUACUGUGAAAACUGGAAGAUUGGCUACAUCAGAUUGAAAAGGCUCUUUUAAAACCAUUUCAGAAGGUAGACAUCUUGAAAGGAUAUACUAUCCCCAGAUUGAUCUAUUUGGCAGACCAGGCUGGUGUGAAAGCCAUGGACUUUGAGUCUUGAUUUGGCAAUUAGAUUUGCCAUCAAGAACUGAUUGCAUUUACCUUCAAGUAUAUCUGAUGCCAUCCUUUAUUCCAGCACAAGAGAUGGUGGCCUAGGUAUUACCAGACUGUCAGGACUAAUCCCCAGUAUACAAGCUUGAAGACUGUACAGGAUCACACAGUCUUCAGAAGAAACAAUGAGAGUAAUUAUGAGGGAAGAGGAAAUUUAGAGAGAAUUUGAAAAACUAUGGAUAACAGCAGGUGGUGACAAAGUUCCAUCACUUUGGGACCCAAAAACAGUUAUGGUAAUGAUAGGGAAGAUGUGUGCUAAUGUCUUUACAAAAAAUUUGAUGGGUGAGGGUAUGGGUGUUAACAUCUUUGAAACAGGUCUUAAUGUCUCUACUAACUUCAAGCAGCAGGUUUGUUACAGAGCCCAGACAGCUUGGCUCCUGAAACAGCCAAGUGGGUCUGCACAAGCCUGAACUUCUGAUGUUUGGGGUAAAAUGACAGGUUCAAGGGGGGAUAUGUGGUAGGCGGUUCGGGUAGGUUUCCUAGUACCUCAGUUAAUGGGGAAAGGAAGAGGGCAACAUGCUGCCAGGAGUUUAGGAUAAUGGAGGCAGUGUCCUCCAAAACCUCAAGAGGGAAAACCCUGCAGACAUGUGCCCCAGUGGACUCUCUCUCUUUAUUUGAAUAAAGUUGCAGGGCUCCUCUGUCUCCUUUAUGGAUACUGCUUUUUCAUAGUGUGAUUUUCC